ACGGGUGAGUAACGCGUGGGAACCUACCUUUCGGUGCGGAAUAACUUCGGGAAACCAAAGCUAAUACCGCAUACGCCCUACGGGGGAAAGAUUUAUCGCCGAUAGAUGGGCCCGCGUCGGAUUAGCUAGUUGGUGAGGUAACGGCUCACCAAGGCGACGAUCCGUAGCUGGUCUGAGAGGAUGAUCAGCCACACUGGGACUGAGACACGGCCCAGACUCCUACGGGAGGCAGCAGUGGGGAAUAUUGGACAAUGGGCGCAAGCCUGAUCCAGCCAUGCCGCGUGAGUGAAGAAGGCCUUAGGGUUGUAAAGCUCUUUUAGUGGGGACGAUAAUGACGGUACCCACAGAAUAAGCCCCGGCUAACUUCGUGCCAGCAGCCGCGGUAAUACGAAGGGGGCUAGCGUUGUUCGGAAUCACUGGGCGUAAAGCGCAUGCAGGCGGACUGAUAAGUCGGGGGUGAAAGCCCGGGGCUCAACCUCGGAACUGCCUUCGAUACUGUCAGUCUUGAGUCCGGGAGAGGUGAGUGGAAUUCCUAGU
rnacentral:rRNA from 1 species